rnacentral:rRNA from 1 species
GACGAACGCUGGCGGCGUGCCUAAUCCAUGCAAUUAGAACGCAGUUGCGAAAGGGUGAGUAACGCGUAGGUAACUUCCUCAUAGCGGGGGGUAACUAUUGGAAACGAUAGCUAAUACCGCAUACUGUGAGAUGGACCUGAGGUGUAUUAGCUAGUUGGUGAGGUAAAGGCUCACCAAGGCGACGAUACAUAGCCGGCAUGAGAGGUGGAUAGGCUACACUGGGACUGAGACCCGGCCCAGACGUCUACGGGGGGUAGCAGAAGGGAUUCUUAGGGAAGUGACGGAAGUCUGACCAAGCGACGCAGCGUGAGUGAAGAAGGUUUUCGGAUCGUAAAUCUCUGUUGUUAGAGAAGCGGUAGCUAACCAGAAAGGGACGGCUAACUACGUGCCAGCCGCCGCGGUAAUAC